UACGUAGGGACCAAGCGUUGUUCGGAUUUACUGGGCGUAAAGGGCGCGUAGGCGGUGCGGUAAGUCACUUGUGAAAUCUCUGAGCUUAACUCAGAACGGCCAAGUGAUACUGCAGUGCUAGAGUGCGGAAGGGGCAAUCGGAAUUCUUGGUGUAGCGGUGAAAUGCGUAGAUAUCAAGAGGAACACCUGAGGUGAAGACGGGUUGCUGGGCCGACACUGACGCUGAUGCGCGAAAGCCAGGGGAGCAAACGGG
rnacentral:rRNA from 1 species